GGGCCAGGGACAAGCUGCUCCGGUCCGGCGAGGAUGCGCACCAUCUGUUGUUGCCAAGGCGAUCUCUCUCUCUCUCUACAUAUCCUGUUAUGCACUUAUGCCACACUUGUGCAUAAGUCUGCUUAUUUGAAGGCCUUGAGGUUAAGCCUAACCAGUCUGUCAAAGUUUCACCUGAUGACUAGCACUUUCUCCAUCUCUCCCAGGUGCCCUUGGUGAAGUGAAGAAGGAUGACAAGGCAACCAUGUUCGUCAAGAUCGGCGACCAGAAGUUAGCCAUCAGGACCCUCUCUACUGACAAGUUCCCUCAGGACCCGUACUUUGUUCUUCAUUUGCACUUUGUUGUCCUGCUACUGUUAAUUUUUACUGACAUGGUGUUGAUACUGCUUAGAAUAUGACCUGUGCCUAAAUUUUAGUAGCAUUUGUUGUCAAAAACAUGAUUGUAUUGUGAGCAAGCAAGAUUUUGGAGUCUUCUUAGAGCCUGCUGCUAUUUAGUUUUCGUACACCAAUAUAAU